CCUACGGGGUGCAGCAGUGGGGAAUAUUGGACAAUGGGGGGAACCCUGAUCCAGCGACGCCGCGUGAGUGAAGAAGUAUUUCGGUAUGUAAAGCUCUAUCAGCAGGGAAGAAAGAAAUGACGGUACCUGACCAAGAAGCCCCGGCUAACUACGUGCCAGCAGCCGCGGUAAUACGUAGGGGGCAAGCGUUAUCCGGAUUUACUGGGUGUAAAGGGAGCGUAGACGGCAGGGCAAGUCUGGAGUGAAAGGCAGGGGCCCAACCCCUGGACUGCUCUGGAAACUGUCCGGCUGGAGUACAGGAGAGGUAAGUGGAAUUCCUAGUGUAGCGGUGAAAUGCGUAGAUAUUAGGAGGAACACCAGUGGCGAAGGCGGCUUACUGGACUGUAACUGACGUUGAGGCUCGAAAGCGUGGGGAGCAAACAGGAUUAGAUACCCGAGUAGUC
rnacentral:rRNA from 1 species